rnacentral:rRNA from 1 species
CGGAUUAGAUACCCUGGUAGUCCUAGCCGUAAACGUUGGGUGCUAGGUGUGGGCGGAUAUCGACCCCGUCCGUGCCGAAGCUAACGCAUUAAGCACCCCGCCUGGGGAGUACGGCCGCAAGGCUAAAACUCAAAGGAAUUGACGGGGCCCCGCACAAGCGGCGGAGCAUGUUGCUUAAUUCGAUGCGACGCGAAGAACCUUACCUGGGCUUGACAUGCAGGGUGAAACCCGCGAAAGCGGGUGCUCUUCGGAGCCUGCACAGGUGGUGCAUGGCUGUCGUCAGCUCGUGCCGUGAGGUGUUGCCUUAAGUGGCGCAACGAGCGCAACCCCUGUCCUUAGUUGCCAGCGGAUCAUGCCGGGAACUCUAGGGAGACUGCCGGUGCCAAACCGGAGGAAGGUGGGGAUGAAGUCAAGUCAUCAUGCCCCUUAUGUCCAGGGCUGCAAACAUGCUACAAUGCCCGGUACAAAGGGCUGCGAUCCCGCAAGGGGGAGCGAAUCCCAAAAAGCCGGGCUCAGUUCGGAUCGGGGUCUGCAACCCGACCCCGUGAAGUUGGAGUCGCUAGUAAUCGCAGAUCAGCACUGCUGCGGUGAAUACGUUCCCGGGGCUUGUACACACCGCCCGUCACACCACGAAAGUGGGCAACACCCGAAGCCGGUGGCCUAACCCUUGUGGAGGGAGCCGUCGAAAGUGGGGCUCGCGGUUGGGGGUGAAGUCGUAACAAG